GACGAACGCUGGCGGCGUGCUUAACACAUGCAAGUCGAACGGAAAGGCCCUGCUUUUGUGGGGUGCUCGAGUGGCGAACGGGUGAGUAACACGUGAGUAACCUGCCCUUGACUUUGGGAUAACUUCAGGAAACUGGGGCUAAUACCGGAUAGGAGCUCCUGCUGCAUGGUGGGGGUUGGAAAGUUUCGGCGGUUGGGGAUGGACUCGCGGCUUAUCAGCUUGUUGGUGGGGUAGUGGCUUACCAAGGCUUUGACGGGUAGCCGGGCUGAGAGGGUGACCGGCCACAAUGGGACUGAGAUACGGCCCAGACUCAUACGCGAGGCAGCAGUGGGGAAUAGUGCACAAUGGGCGGAAGACUGAUGAAGCAACGCCGCGUGCGGGAUGACGGCCUUCGGGUUGUAAACCGCUUUCGCCUGUGACGAAGCGUGAGUGACGGUAAUGGGUAAAGAAGCACCGGCUAACUACGUG
rnacentral:rRNA from 1 species